AUUGAACGCUGGCGCCAGGCUUAACACAUGCAAGUCGAGCGGGGUGAUGGUGCUUGCACUAUCACUUAGCGGCGGACGGGUGAGUAAUGCUUAGGAAUCUGCCUAUUAGUGGGGGACAACAUCUCGAAAGGGAUGCUAAUACCGCAUACGUCCUACGGGAGAAAGCAGGGGGUCACUUGUGACCUUGCGCUAAUAGAUGAGCCUAAGUCGGAUUAGCUAGUUGGUGGGGUAAAGGCCUACCAAGGCGACGAUCUGUAGCGGGUCUGAGAGGAUGAUCCGCCACACUGGGACUGAGACACGGCCCAGACUCCUACGGGAGGCAGCAGUGGGGAAUAUUGGACAAUGGGGGGAACCCUGAUCCAGCCAUGCCGCGUGUGUGAAGAAGGCCUUAUGGUUGUAAAGCACUUUAAGCGAGGAGGAGGCUCUUUUGGUUAAUACCCAAGAUGAGUGGACGUUACUCGCAGAAUAAGCACCGGCUAACUCUGUGCCAGCCGCCGCGGUAA
rnacentral:rRNA from 1 species